AUUGAACGCUGGCGGCAUGCUUUACACAUGCAAGUCGAACGGUGACAGGCCGCAAGGUGCUGACGAGUGGCGAACGGGUGAGUAAUGCAUCGGAACGUGCCAGUCGUGGGGGAUAACGCAGCGAAAGCUGCGCUAAUACCGCAUACGAUCUAUGGAUGAAAGCGGGGGACCGAAAGGCCUCGCGCGAUUGGAGCGGCCGAUGUCAGAUUAGGUAGUUGGUGGGGUAAAGGCCCACCAAGCCAACGAUCUGUAGCUGGUCUGAGAGGACGACCAGCCACACUGGGACUGAGACACGGCCCAGACUCCUACGGGAGGCAGCAGUGGGGAAUUUUGGACAAUGGGCGCAAGCCUGAUCCAGCAAUGCCGCGUGCAGGAAGAAGGCCUUCGGGUUGUAAACUGCUUUUGUACGGAACGAAACGGUCCGGGUUAAUACCCUGGGCUAAUGACGGUACCGUAAGAAUAAGCACCGGCUAACUACGUGCCAGCAGCCGCCGUAACAC
rnacentral:rRNA from 1 species